GACUCUCGGCAACGGAUAUCUCGGCUCUCGCAUCGAUGAAGAACGUAGCGAAAUGUGAUACUUGGUGUGAAUUGCAGAAUCCCGUAAACCAUCGAGUCUUUGAACGCAAGUUGCGCCCCAAGCUAUUAUAGCGGUGGUCUUUGGCUUUGUUUGU
rnacentral:rRNA from 1 species